ensembl:processed_transcript Gm17191 predicted gene 17191
GGAACUUGAAGCAGUGUUACCAAGUUUUCUUACAUGGGGCAUCACAUUGGAUUUCAUCUGUAUUGCACAAAAGGUUACAAUUUCCCACCCAAGUAUGCAAUCUCAUUAGUACUUUGCCUAUGAUGCCUUUCAUAGGUGUGUGUGUGUGUGUGUGUGUGUUUCUGAGUGUCUCACAGUUUCUCCGGUGCUAGGGUCCCUGCCUGCAUUUUUGCGGAAUCAAUUUACCAUAUCAACUGGAAUGCUAAAGCGGGCGGAGACCUUUUACAGAAGUUUUCAGACCUGGCCACACUUGACCACCAUUACUUGGGCGUUUUCGUUUUUACUUUUUAGCAAAAUAUUGAAAUGAAAAUGUUGUUUUCUAGUCUCACCUUUAGAAAUUUGGAUUCAGUGUGGAUCAAACAAUUCUUGAAAC